UGCCAGCCGCCGCGGUAAUACGAGAGUGGCAAGCGUUAUCCGGAAUUAUUGGGUUUAAAGGGUGCGUAGGCGGAAAUUUAAGUCAGUGGUGAAAGCCUGCAGCUCAACUGUAGAAUUGCCAUUGAUACUGAAUUUCUUGAAUCUAAUUGAAGUAGGCGGAAUAUGACAUGUAGCGGUGAAAUGCUUAGAUAUGUCAUAGAACACCGAUAGCGAAGGCAGCUUACUAAGUUAGUAUUGACGCUAAUGCACGAAAGCGUGGGGAGCGAACAGGAUUAGAUA
rnacentral:rRNA from 1 species